AAAUUACCAGUCCCCAAGGCUUUACCACCAACCUCCACUCCACUGAAACCACCAGUUCCCAAAACUACCCCUCCAAAAAUUGCUCCUGUGAAGCCACCUGUUCCCAAAACUUUACCUCCAAAAAUUGCUCCUGUGAAGCCACCUGUUCCCAAAACUUUACCUCCAAAAAUUGCUCCUGUGAAGCCACCUGUCCCCAAGGUUACACCAGCAUUAAGUCCAAAACCCCCAUCCCCCAAAAUCCCACCACCACAACCACCCAAAAACGCUCCUAUUCCACCCC
rnacentral:lncRNA from 1 species